UUAAAUGGCUGCAGUAAUUUGACUGUACAAAGGUAGCAUAAUCAUUAGUUUUUUAAUUAAAAGCUUGAAUGAAAGGUUGGACGAAGUAAAAUCUGUCUCUUUUAAAUAAAAUUAGAAUUUAAUUUUUAAGUUAAAAAGCUUAAAUUUUUAUAAAAGACGAGAAGACCCUAUAGAGUUUAAUAAUUUUUUGGGAAUAAUUAAUUUAGUUUUAUUAAUUUUAUUUUCUAAAUAUUAUUUUAUUGGGGUAAUAAUAAGAUUUAAAUAAUUCUUUUUUUUUUACCAUUAAUUUAUGAAAUGUAUGAUCCAUUAUUUUUAUGAUUAUAAG
rnacentral:rRNA from 1 species